UUUCCGUAGGUGAACCUGCGGAAGGAUCAUUAUUACGUAUCCAACGUAUAAACCCAACGUGAACUGUAUUCGCUCAGAGUUUGAGGCAAUGGCUGGUCACAUUAAAGUCUCUUUGUUAGUGAUAGAGACUGUGAUUCGUGCCGCUACAGCGGGCACCUAGUGCCUUAUGUGGGCCUUUUACUCUGAGCGAAUACAGUUCACGUUGGGUUUAUACGUUGGAUACGUAAUAAACCUGAUGGGUUGUUGCUGGUUCUCCAGGGAGCAUGUGCACGCCUUGUCAUCUUUAUAUCUCCACCUGUGCACCUUUUGUAGACUCUUGUCUAUGUUGCUUCAUUUGCCCCAAUGUAUGUUAAUAGAAUGUUUGUCCCUAUAAAAUAUAUACAACUUUCAGCAACGGAUCUCUUGGCUCUC
rnacentral:misc_RNA from 1 species